GAAGAUCAUCCACAUUAGGCCUGAAGUUGAAGGUGAGGUUGAGAUAGGCUGCCAAGCAGUGGAUGGAAACCCUCCCCGCCAAGAGAUAGAGAUGGUUUGGAUCAGCUCUCAGGGUUUGGUAGCAGGUGCUUGAGGAAGUGCUACUGCAGGUCACCUUUAAAAGGGACUAGCUGUCAGACAUAGGACCCACAGCACCGGCCUGCCUGAAAAUAGGGUACCUGCUUUUCUUCUUUCUUGUAGAUGAGCCCAUUAGAGUCCUCUAAUGCCUGUCAUGGGGUAAGAAGAUUGAGACUCAGAAAUAACAAAGACUCAAUCACCAAUAGCAGUAAAAAUACUGAUGAAAGGCAAAACCACGGCAAUCUGCCCCAAACUUGGACAAGCAUGAGCUCCUCCCAUGAACCUGUCUGCACAUCUCUCUGUCCUUGCCUAUGGAGCAUUCUUGGAAGUCACUCCCUGUAACUUUAUUCCCCUAAGAGAAUUUCAAGAGGUUAUCAUCAUCAAAGCCUCAUCCAUUUGGUAGGCAAAAAUGCAAAAGCUCAGCAAAGUCUUCCUGGAUGCCCCCUUUUAUUCCCAUGACAAAGCCUAAGGUUGAUUCAGUGCUGAGCACCUGCAGACCCAGAUUCUGUAAAAUCACAUAAGACCGGGCAAAUUCCAGCCUCAGGUCUUACAGAUUCCCCUAGUGUUGGUUAGUAAAAAACAAUCAUAAAAUUUGUUAGCCAAUUGACUGGGUCCUAGUCACCAUAAAUACUUUCAACUCUGAGAACAAAGCUUCUUCACAGAGUCAAGAAAAAGAUUUAUGUAAGAAAAAAAUUUUCAGUUCCUCUAUGGACUGACAGCAUCUCAGUUGUACCCUUUCCAAGUUCCUGACCUUCAAAAUUCAUCUACUUGCCCAAAUGAAUGUUGUUUUAUGCUCUAAAUUUGUGCAAUAAUUCAUUGUACAGCCAUAGCAAAGCGGUAUUCUUCAACCUCAGUUUUCUCAUCUGUAAAAUGGAGUCUUUGUUGAUACAUGUCUAGUAAAUGAUUUAUGAACAAUAAAUGAUUCUUUUGCACUUGCUACACUGUAAGCACUCAAAUACCAGAGAUCACGUUUGCUUGUUUUACUUAAUGGAAUAAC
rnacentral:lncRNA from 1 species